CAAUCCUUCGCCGGUGCCGUCGAUCCAAAUAUACGUAGCUUGGAUUUGAUCAUCCCGUUGAGGCAGAUCCAAAUACUUCUUGAGCAAACCCUUGUCUAAGGCCGCGUUCGGCGAUUCCUUCAGCAUGGUACGCGACAUCGUGACGCUGCAAACAAUCAAUAGGAUCUCUAUUAGCGGAAUGAAGCCUGAACAUCGUUGAAAUUCGGGUGAAAAUGAACGCACAUAUAAUACCGCUUACAGUUUAGACGACUGACUAGCAACAACUGCUUUUAAUUUGGAAGUUCUCUUUUUUGGAAGUUUUUUUAAUUUGGAAGUACAACAAAGUCUCUCUAAUACGAUUACACUUGCUCACAUUGUCCCUGUGCUAUUCCUACGCCUAUGCUAAGGUCCGACGGAGCCAGUCAAGCGUAUAUGACGCGGCACGCGACGCGGCUCCUUUGACUAAACGUAUUCUUUGAACUGUUUGCCUGGAGCUGUUCCGUCCACGGAAGACGAGUGGGGGACAAACAAUGUCCCCACGUGGCCACGGCACAAGAACAACAGAGAGACUUGCUACCGUAUCUGUUCCUGCAUCGGCAAAGGAGCAUAGAAGGGGAAGAGUCGACGUUUGGGGGGCUCCUUACGUAGAUGGUCUAGGAGUCCUAGACCAACGUUCUAACUUGGCCGCAUGAAAACAGUGGAGUCGGAGAAAGGUUUUUGGUGCAGUGGCCGCGCUCGCGUUAAAAGAUUGCCUCGAUUUAUUCUCGGUGCGCCAGAAAGAGGUGCGCCCACGUAUCACGCAGUUCGCAUGUAGCAUCACGCGGCACGCACGCCGCCGCCGCGUGUACUCCGAGCGUAUACGUCGCUUCGCGUCGAUCUCUUCCAUGCGUCGACAGUCGCACAAUGCUGAAAACGCGAUUUUAGCUGAACAAAAUGAUUUGUAUUAUAUCCUUCUACAAGAAUGUGUACAUUUAAACGUGGAAUCGAUAUCCAGACUUCUCUACACAUCUAUGAGCGCAGACGAAUACAUCUCCUGAUUCGCGAUUAAGCGUGGCGUGGCAAAGCGUCAGGAACCAGUCUGCUUUUGAUUUCACGAGUGAUGCGUGAUCGUUCGGCACUUGUUUCGAGAGUGUCAUGGAGCGCGGGUUCAGGGGCGUACGAACUGAACUGGCCCUAACAAAAAUAAAAUAAAAUAGAUUUUAUUGUAGUAUGUAUUUAUUUUAUGAUUUAUGCGUUUACAUUUGUCACAUGAAGUACAUAAUAAUGGAAAUAUCUGAAGAUUUAAAAAAAAAUUCGAUUAUUUGUAAGUUA